UCUUUAAUAGCUUAAAUACAAAGCAUGAGAUUUUUAAUUUCAAAAUGAGACAACUCUUAGAGAA
rnacentral:tRNA from 1 species